UACGUAGGGGGCAAGCGUUGUCCGGAUUUAUUGGGCGUAAAGAGCGUGUAGGCGGCUAGGUAGGUCCGUUGUGAAAACUCGAGGCUCAACCUCGAGACGUCGAUGGAAACCAUCUAGCUAGAGUCCGGAAGAGGAGAGUGGAAUUCCCGGUGUAGCGGUGAAAUGCGUAGAUAUCUGGAGGAACACCGGUGGCGAAGGCGGCAUCCUGGACCAACACUGACGCUGAGGAGCGAAAGCCAGGGGAGCAAACGGG
rnacentral:rRNA from 1 species